rnacentral:rRNA from 1 species
AUUGAACGCUGGCGGCAGGCCUAACACAUGCAAGUCGAACGCGUGGCGGACGUGUGAGUAAUGUCUGGGACACUGCCUUAUGGAGGGGGAAAACUACUGGAAACGGUCGCUAAUCCCGCAUACCAUCAGAUGUGCCCAGAUGGGAUGAGCUAGUUGGUGGGGUAACGGCUCACAAAGGAGACGAUCCCUAGCUGGUCUGAGAGGAUGCGCAGCCACACUGGAACUGAGACACGGUCCAGCGUCCUACGGGAGGCAGCAGUGGGGCAGAUGGCACAAUGGGCGAAAGCCUGAUGCAGCCAUGCCGCGUGUAUGAAGAAGGCCUUCGGGUUGUAAAGUACUUUCAGCGGGGAGGCGUUACCCGCAGAAGAAGCACCGGCUAACUCCGUGCCAGCAGCCGCGGUAAUAC